AUGAAGCCACCACCACAUCUCCCUGGCUUGGUCAAACUGUCUGGACAUACACUGGGCCUACAUGUCCCACAGGGCCUCACCACACAGUGGGAGGGCCUCUGCACCCAGAGUUGCUUUGGAGCCUGGGUGGCUGAGGGCGGCAGAGGGGACAGCAGGUCACCACAGCUGGGGUGUUGGGAGGCAGAGCCACAGCUGGAGAAGGGCUGCCGGAGCCAAACAAGCGCAUCUCAGCACAGAGUGGGAGAUGAACAAGAGCCCAGCAGGGAGCAUGCUGCCAUUCCCUUUGGCGCAGAAGCAGGGAGCAAAGCUCUGCAAGUGCCCCUGGAAUUAAUUUCCCAGGAAAGUACCCCUGCAGCUUGCCUCCUGCCCAGGGAUCCUGCAAGCACCCCAUCCUGGGAAGCUCAAAGGGCAGUUCCCAUCCUGAGAAAACCACUCACAGCAUCUCUCCUGACAGCUGAUUCUGUAAUUAUUUGGUUGCAAUUAAUUGCUAAUUAAUUCCUGAGUUCUGUUAUUUGCAGGUGGGCAGGGGGGGCAUGGCUGCUGGCAGACAGUGUGCCCGCCUGAUAGAAGCAUGCACCUCCACACGGGGAAGGGAGCUACCGAAUGAUGUAGGCCAUUGCCUGGUUAACCAUUAACAACUCAUAAAAUCCCAGGUCCCUGCACAAGAGGCAGAGUCAUCCCAGGGCUGUUAGAAAAUCCUAUUUCUCGCCAGUUAUGAAACAGAGGUUUUGAAGUGCUGCCAACUUCAAUGUGGAGCUCUGGGAGUGGAACACUUGCUGCACUGCAAGCCUCUUACAUAAAGCUUUCCUAGCAGCCCCUGCUUGUCAUGCAGUGUGUCCUUCUGUCCAUCCAUGCACCAAAAAGCCUGAGUGACUCAACUCAGAGCCAGAGCAGCCAUCUGUCCCCGUGCCCCCACAGCUCUUCAAGGCCAAAAGCAGAAGUAGGCAAAGGCUGCGUGCACCAGCAUGGCUGCCAGCAGUUGGGUCCACCCCAAGAGCCAGCAGGCACACCUAUGUGCCUGGUUCCCAGAGUGGGAGCUUUCCACCACUGACUCAUCCCUUGUGUAGAGCACACUAUUCUUGCCAGGCCGCUUCCAGGGCUUGCUUGGGUGCAGUGAUAAGAGGAAACACGCAUCACAUCCUGCAGUCCAUGCCAAGGGAAACAGGAGCACUGCAGCUGAGGAAGCAAGCCUGGGGUAGAGGGGACGUGGUGGGAGGUGGGCCACGGUGAGAGGCAGUGGGAAGGGCGGGAAGGAUGGGUCGGCUGUUGCCUAAAUUCCCCAGAGGUGGCACUCCUGGGGCUCCCGCAGUGCUGGGGAGUAGAGCACUGCUGUGCUGUUCAGCUGGCAAAGAGACAGCGAAGAGUGGAAAAUGCCCCACAGAUGUCUAGAAGCAAAAAAAAAACCCAACAACUAGACUAUGAGGGAUGAAAUGCAGUCUCUCCCUGCCAUGGCCAGCAGCAACUAACAGCUCUACUAAGCCCAGCGGUUUGCCAG
rnacentral:lncRNA from 1 species